UGCCAUUUAAUUAAAACAACUUUGGGACAUGGUACUCGAAUUUAAUACUCAUCAUUCUAAGAGUUGUAGAUACCUCUGAAUAUUUACAUCCAGGCCAUAAAGGUUGUUGAGCUGAAUUCAACAUUUUGUAAAAUCUGGUAGCAUCCAUAUUCGGGGACUCUUUUAUAUUGAGUUCAAAUUGAUGCCCAAGUUCUACACCAACAGCAUCAUAAAUCAUACUUUGAUGUUAAUUUACAUGUUCAUAGUCUUCCGCAGGAAUAUUACUUUGACUGAUUGAAGGUCUGUUAAAGUUAUACCCUUGAUGGCUACUCGAAGCACCUGAAUAGAUAUGUUCAUUCAAAUCAUUUGCAGGUGCUUCAUCUCCAUGCGAUGUCCAAUACCAAUAUCCUGGCGUGAACCAUUUUUGAAAAACAUGCACAAUAACUUCAUAGCGUUUUAGGUGCUUCAUAUAUUUACAACGCGUACAAGGGCACCUUAUGACUCCCUCGGACAAGUAUUUAGGCUGACUACAAGAAAAUUUAAUAAACUCAUCCAUUCCACUGAUAAAUUCAUCUGUAUACCCCGCUCGACGGGGAAGAAGUCUAUUU
rnacentral:lncRNA from 1 species